UACGGAGGGUGCAAGCGUUAUCCGGAUUCACUGGGUUUAAAGGGAGCGUAGGUGGGUUGGUAAGUCAGUGGUGAAAUCCCCGAGCUUAACUUGGGAACUGCCAUUGAUGCUAUCAGUCUUGAAUACUGUGGAGGUUAGCGGAAUAUGUCAUGUAGCGGUGAAAUGCUUAGAUAUGACAUAGAACACCAAUUGCGAAGGCAGCUGGCUACACAAAUAUUGACACUGAGGCUCGAAAGCGUGGGGAUCAAACAGG
rnacentral:rRNA from 1 species